GCAGCGGGCCGGCUCGUCGCUACCGCCUCAGCGCGGUAGAGGAAAGUCCGGGCAACGCAGAGCGCCGCACUCCCUAACAGCGAGCUAUCGGCGACGGUAGAGACAACGUGACAGAAAACAACCGCCCGUAAGGGUAAGGGUGAAAAGGCGGGGUAAGAGCCCACCGGGCAUCGUGGCGACACGGUGUGCCGCACGUCUUGCGGGUUGCAAGGUCAAGUAUACCGGCAUUUAAGGGCUGCUCGUCCAUUGCCGGGGGGUAGACUGCUACGGACCGACUGUAAGUGGCGACCCAAAAGGCUUCCAUACUCAGUCGGCCAAAGAUAAAUGACGGUCCCCGAAGGCUUUUGCCGCAGGGACAUAACCCGGCUUACAGGUCCGCUGCCAUU
rnacentral:RNase_P_RNA from 1 species